UACGUAGGGGGCUAGCGUUGUCCGGAAUCAUUGGGCGUAAAGCGCGUGUAGGCGGCUCGGUAAGUCCGCUGUGAAAGUCGGGGGCUCAACCCUCGGAUGCCGGUGGAUACUGUCGGGCUCGAGUCCGGAAGAGGCGAGUGGAAUUCCCGGUGUAGCGGUGAAAUGCGCAGAUAUCAGGAGGAACACCAAUGGCGAAGGCAGCUCGCUGGGACGGUACUGACGCUGAGGCGCGAAAGCGUGGGGAGCAAACAGG
rnacentral:rRNA from 1 species